rnacentral:rRNA from 1 species
ACGUAGGGGACGAGCGUUGUCCGGAAUUACUGGGCGUAAAGGGCGCGCAGGCUGUUCUGCAAGUCAGCUGUUAAAUGUCUGGGCUUAACCCGGGCAUGCGGUUGAGACUGCGGGACUGGAGUGCUGUAGAGGCAAGUGGAAUUCCCAGUGUAGCGGUGAAAUGCGUAGAUAUCGGGAGGAACACCAGUGGCGAAGGCGGCUUCCUGGCCAGCAACUGACGCUGAUGCGCGAAAGCUAGGGGAGCAAACGG